GGCAAUACUGCUCUGGUUCCUCUUCCUAACCUCCAGAGUCUGGCGUCUGUGCAGUCUGGUGUGGCUGGUGUGCCUCUCGAGGCUUUUUGGUGUGUUAGUCCUGCUGUAAGCAUAAGUGUGGCUGUCUCUCCCUCCCUUGGCGUCUUGAGUGCAGACUGGAGUUACGGUCUCCUGCUUCAAGUUUGUUACGCCACUCGGUGUUGAGUUGGUAGAGUGCGCAACGGCCGUGCGUCCUCCCCUCCUCUCCGCUCCACUGUUGGAAACCGCCCUCUGCCCAGUGGCCCUUAAAGGCCAGGCUGUGCACCACGGUGUAGUGCCUCCUGUUUUUUUACAAGCCAUCAGCCUCCACCUCCUGGCGCUUGCUGCUGUUCUGACUUUUGGAUUUCGUUGAGUGCAGAGUGUCUAUUCCGAGUCAUUUAUGACUGAAUGGUUGUGAUUGCACCAGCCUUUUCAGAACUUCCCGUUUACAAUAUUACCUGGUGUCUUUUAUUUUUUUAUUCUCUCAUUGACAAGUGGACUACAUUUGGUAGCCACGUUCUAGUGGUUUCAUUUAUACCCUGUGCUGUUUUGUUUAUUUGAUUUAAUUUACAGUAAGCAGUAUUAUGUCUUCUUUUGAUUCUUUAUUCCUUUCUCCCGUUUUGUUUUGAGGUUUAUUUGUUUUCUGGGGGGUUGGUCGACUUAUAAGCUACUCAUAUGCAUGUCUUCCAACUCUUGGGUAAUUUAUAUUAGACUCUUUGUUUAUUGAUUCAAUUAGACGAUUGUUAUUAGCCUACUUUCUUUCGUAAUUUUGGUUAUCAUUGUUUAGUUUCUGGGGUAUAUUGUUUGGGUAAAUUGGGGUGUGUGUCUUGUGUGAGUGUUUUAUGGAGUAUGUGUGAGACUGUUGAACUAACUGUGUUUCUCUGUUGCUAGGAGCAGCGGGGUGCAAGCCGGUGGCAGGCGGACCUCUUGGUGGUGGUGUCCUCCCUCACUCACCCCUUUUUGCCGUGCUUUGGUUUUGUUUGGUUUAUUUUGUCUUCACGUGUGGUGUGUUGUGUUGUUCUUUUUUUUGGACCCGUCCCCGCUCUUAUGUUGGUCUGUCCUCCGCAGUAAGCCCCCAGCCUCGCUCCUUAGGCUCUCCCCCACACACAGUAAAUUUCUGAUCAUUGCUCUUUUAGUAUUGGGAACUUGUCAUUAGUAUUGUUAAAAAUAAAGUUUUGUAUCUUUGUGGA